GUGCUCGCUUCGGCGGUACAUAUACUAAAAUCGGAACGAUACAGAGAAGAUCAGCAUGGCCCCUGCGGAAGGAUGACACACAAAAUCGUGAAGGGUUCCAAUUUUUU